CCCAGGCUCCCCGCUGCAGCGGCGGGGCUGCCAGGGGCGGCACACUCCAGCGCCAGCCAGAGAGCUAGCGCCGCUUGAGGCCGGCCGGGGACGAGGCGCUUUACACUGCCUGAUGGGUACUAGCAGCCCACCCCAGCCAGAUGGAGGACAAGGCCUCUCCAAGUCUCAAGGAAAUGCACAAUCCUUCCUUACCUCUGGCCUCAGAAAUCUCAGCAUCUCAUUGAUUAGCAACCUCGUCUGUGGCAAAUCUAAGGAACACCUUCUACUUAAAAUUGAAGUCUUCUGGGCUGGGUGUGGUGGCUCAUUCCUGUAAUCCCAGCACUUUGGGAGGCCAAGGAGUGCGGAUCACGAAGUCAGGAGUUCCAGACCAGCCUGGCCAACAUAGUGGAACCCUGUCUCUACUAAAAAUACAAAAAUUAGCCGGGUGUGGUGGCACAUGCCUGUAGUCCCAGCUACUCGGGAGGCUGAGGUGGGAGAAUCGCUUGAACCUGGGAGGCGGAGGUUGCAGUGAGCCGAGACCACACCAUUGCACUCCAGCCUGGGUGACAGAGUGAGACUCUGUUUCAAAAAAAAAAAAAAAAAAUUGAAGUCUUCUGCGACUUACUUCCACCUUUCACAUUCACACAAAUAUCUCACAUGUAUGUAUAUAUGUAUACACACGUAUAUCUCUAUGAACAAUAUAUAGUAUUCUUUUAUAUUGUGUGUGUGUGAAGGGUAUUUUAAAUUCUAUGUAACUUUUAUUGUAUAUAUUGUUUUUCCCCUUAUUUUUGAAUAUUAUACUCUUUUAUCCAUGUUGGGAAGAAACACACACACACACAUACAUUAGUCAUUUAUUGUGUAAACUACAAAACUUUCUUGUCAUUUGUUCUUUGAAAUAACCCUCCCACACUCACUU